UCCACUCCUUGGAGCUAAGAUCAAAGUGCAGUGUCUGUUCUUAUCAGUUUAAUAUCUGAUAUGUCCUUUAUUUGAGGAUUGUAUGUUAAACUGAUUUUUGAAACAAGGGGAUGGAAUAGGAGCUUGCACUGUUCACCCCAUGCAUUGAUCUGGUGUUGCACUGUCUCCAAGACCAGCAGUUCAGAGCAC
ensembl:snRNA U2 U2 spliceosomal RNA